GAUGAACGCUGGCGGCGUGCUUAACACAUGCAAGUCGAACGAAGCGCUUAAAACGGAUUUCUUCGGAAUGAAGUUUUUGCGACUGAGUGGCGGACGGGUGAGUAACGCGUGGGUAACCUGCCUCAUACAGGGGGAUAACAGUUAGAAACGACUGCUAAUACCGCAUAAGCCCACAGCUCGGCAUCGAGCAGAGGGAAAAGGAGUGAUCCGCUUUGAGAUGGCCUCGCGUCCGAUUAGCUGGUUGGUGAGGUAACGGCCCACCAAGGCGACGAUCGGUAGCCGGACUGAGAGGUUGAACGGCCACAUCGGGACUGAGACACGGCCCAG
rnacentral:rRNA from 1 species